GCUAAAUAAGAUCGACAAGAGACUUGACCAGUGUAAGGAAGAUAUCACUUUACAACAUGGAUGCAGCACGAGUGGAACGGUAGUGCAAGAAAAUCAAAUGGUUAAUCAACUUGCUGGACAAAUUCAGACGCAGUUAACUGGAAAAAAAA
rnacentral:lncRNA from 13 species